rnacentral:lncRNA from 1 species
GGGUGAAGGGCUGACACACCACUGGGUGCUACUGUAGGCCAUAGCACUGCUUCCCCAUUCCAUUUAAAUUAGCAAGGGUCAAGAGGGUGGAGAAGUGAGAAAUUUGCAAGCCGAUGAGGAGGGGAGUAAAUUUCACAUUAUUGUCUAGGAUUGCUUCUAAUGCCCAAAUAGGAAUUUCUCAGAAUACUGACAAAGCAAAUUGGACAAUAUUGUGAAAAAAAGAGGAAACUUUCCUUGCAGGUUAAAGAAUUUUAUUUGUUUUAUCAAUAUUGCUGCCCUCUUGCCCCAGUGCUGUCCAGUUAAGCUGUAACACGGCUGUGGGGAGUUGGGAGUAUAACUCCACAGCUCUAGCCCAUCAUACUCACUGCUACUGCAUGACUGUCAAAAAGAAUAUUCAAAUCAGAACAUUAUCUGACCUAGCAAGGCAGAAGCUAGCUGGAAUAGAAAGCCAGCAGAAAACAGAAGGAGGGGAGACCAGGUGAGCCUCAUGGGGCAAGGUUCUCCACAGCCUGGAUGCUGACGCACAGAUAGGGUCUUUUCUCAGGCCCCUACCGACUUCUGCUUAAUUGGUCUUCAAAUGUGGCAUUUCUGUAACUCCCUGAACCAGGCUGGCAUUCCAAGGAAGUUCUGUUCAAGGUUUAGGCUAUAGUUCGGCAGAGAUGCAAAGGAGAAGACUGUUAGUAAGGUAGUGAAACAAAACUACAAUGCAUCAGGGGUUGGAGGGGGUCUGGGCAAAAUCCUCAGUAGGCACCCUGCAGCGAUCAACACGCCCCCCCCCCCAAAUAAGGAGGCAUAUUGUACAGGGUUUUAAGUAGGGAAGGUCAGUGAAUUCAUAAUCUUCACCCUUCCAUUUCACCCAACUUUUCUGUGAAAGCUUAUUCUCUUCCAAGGUCAUGCAGAGCUUGAUGGGUGGUUGCCCCUGGAUGUCGUGUCAAUUUGGGAACAGAGCGUCUCCCCACCAGUAGGAGAGAGUCGGUGUGGCUUUUGCCCUCCUAGGUGUGUGGCAUCAUACUGGGUUCAUAAGGAAAGGGUUAACUAAGUGUAAAAUGACUAACCUUAAAAAGCAGAGACGUCACCUUGCCAACAAAGGUCCGUAUAGUUAAAGCCAUGGUUUUCCCAGUAGAGAUGUAUGGAAGUGAGAGCUGGACCAUCAAGAAGUCUGAUCACCGAAGAAUUGAUGCUUUUGAAUUAUGGCGCUGGAGGAGACUCUUGAGAGUCCCAUGGACUGCAAGAGGAUCAAACGCAUCCAUUCUUAAGGAAAUUAGCCCUGAGUGCUCACUGGAAGGACAGAUCGUGAAGCUGAGGCUCCAAUACUUUGGCCACCUCAUGAGAAGAGAAGACUCCCUGGAAAAGACCCUGAUGUUGGGAAAGAUGGAGGGCACAAGGAGAAGGGGACGACAGAGGAUGAGAUGGUUGGACAGUGUUCUCGAAGCUACAAACAUGAGUCUGACCAAACUGUGGGAGGCAGUAGUAGACAGGAGUGCCUGGCGUGCUCUGGUCCAGGGGGUCAAGAAGAGUCGGACACGACUAAAUGACUAAACAACAACAACAAAAUGACUAACCAAUAGGAACCCAAGGGGAGGAGUUAGAGUUAGAGUGGUUAAGAAGUCAGUCUGGAGUUAGAGAAGAGAGAGGGAGGAUAAGUCUGUGGGUUGGACUAGUCUGAUGUGAGAGAGUGAGAGAAUCUGUUAAGAGGAGUCAGUCAAAUAGUUGAGAUAAUAAGUCAGAAGGUAUUAGGAAGUUAUAGGCCGGUAAAGAAACUAAGGUUAAGAAACUGACAAGAAAAUUAUCUGAGAAACCAUAAACUUGAUAACACUUAUAAAAUAAACUUGUUUAAUGUUAACAACUGUCUGGACUCAGUGUGUACCCGAGAGUAACAGGUUGGUGUCAGCGGGGAAGCGAGCACAGUGGUGGCACAGGGAUCAACAGACUGUCAAACGUCCGGGGACCCUGUGUGAUCACCAUAGUCAGUAUAGUGUAGUGGCUAAGAGACUGAUGAAUGAGGAAGUCCCUAGUUCAAGUUUUGCCUCAACUCACUAGGCGGCCUUAGGCAAGUCACUAUUUCUUAACCCCAUACAGCAAUAUGGGGGGUAAUCAUGACUGUCAUACAUAGGGUUGUUACAGGAAUUACAGCUGGAUAAUGCGUUUCAAGCACUUUGAAUAUUUAAUGCUGUGCAAAUACCCUCCUCCUCUUGUGUCUGCUUAGCUCUGGAGCGCUAGGCGAGCCGUAGACUGGCAGGAGUAGCCAUUUCAUACCUAAAGUUUGUGUCAGUAGGUUUCCAGGCCACAUCUUGUCCUGCCAAGUUUCUGGCAUAACCACAUUAAAAUAAGAUUUUUUAAAACAAGAAGUAGACAGUUAAUGAAUUCACACCUAUGAGAUCACAACCUCAUUGAAUUAAGUGAAAUUAUUUUGCCUACUAAUGAAGCCCUAUUACAAUUACCAUUUCAAUUGUGUGAGGGAGAAAACAGGGUUGCACUUAGUGGUGUUGGAGAGAGAGAUUUGGAAGAGAGAUUCUUACUCUUUGGUAGCAGAGGUAGUACAAGUACAUAAAAACUUGGUUAGAUUUGUAUCUGCCGUCAUCCUCCUUUAAACAAACAUUCCCCAUAAAAAUAUUUAGGCUAGAAUAAAUCAUAGACGCUUACCUUUGCAAAUAAGUGAAUCUUUUACUCAGAGUUUCCAGAAAUUACAGCAAGCAAGUCUCCAUCUGCUAGCAGUAAAAUGAAGAUGAAAAAAAAAGAAGGUUCAAAACAACUUC